AGUCUACUCCAUAACAUAUCAACACAAAGUUCAAACAAUUUAUUACGAAACGACAACAAGCAGAAGCUACCCCAAAACUACAUUAAGACAAACUCCCUGCAGGUCAAACGCGGAAAUGGUGGUGGUGCCAGCAGAUGAAAAUAUGUUGGUCCAUGCUACUGAAAAGGUCCUCACUGUGGCGCAUGAGCACCGCACCACUCUGGCGUUGGGAGCAGCUGUCGUGCUCUUAAUACUCGCGAUCAUCCUUCUGAUUAAGUUAUUUAAGAAACCUGAGCCUAAGCCUCGACUCGUCCUGGUACCGAUGGCAGAUGAGCCACCAGAGCCUCCCCCACAGAACAUGAUACCCCAUCACCGAUAUAAUUUGAGAAACACGCCAGCCCGUCGAUACCGGGCUUGUAACUAAUAUUCAAAUUACAUUUUUCGAUUAUAAAUCUAGCAAUCAAAACGAUGUCAAAAUUCCAAAAUAAAACCAUCAAUAAUGCUGUA